ensembl:snoRNA
CUACAAUGAUGCCAGUAUAUUUCAUCAACAGCAGUUCACCUAGUGAGUGUUGAUACUUUGGGUCUGAGUGA